GCUGGGUAUGGUGGUGCACACCUGUAGUCCUAGCUACUUGGGAGGCUGAGGUGGGAGGAUCACUUGAGCCUGGGAGUUUAAGGCUGCGGUGAGCUAUGAUUAUACCACUGCACUCCAGCCUGGGCAACACAGUGAGAACUUGUCUCAA
ensembl:misc_RNA Metazoa_SRP Metazoan signal recognition particle RNA